UCCCUGGUGGUUGAGAUGGUAAAGAAUCUGCCUGUGAUGCAGGAGACCCAGGUACAAUUCCUGGGUCUGGAAA
rfam:TPA: Bos taurus chromosome 1, whole genome shotgun sequence.